CGGCGUGCUUAACACAUGCAAGUCGAACGAAGAAGGCUAGAAUGAGAGCUUCGGCAGGAUUUCUUUCCAUCUUAGUGGCGGACGGGUGAGUAACGUGUGGGCAACCUGCCCUGUACUGUGGAAUAAUCAUUGGAAACGAUGACUAAUACCGCAUGUGGUCCUCGGAAGGCAUCUUCUGAGGAAGAAAGGAUUUAUUCGGUACAGGAUGGGCCCGCAUCUGAUUAGCUAGUUGGUGAGAUAACAGCCCACCAAGGCGACGAUCAGUAGCCGACCUGAGAGGGUGAUCGGCCACAUUGGGACUGAGACACGGCCCAAACUCCUACGGGAGGCAGCAGUGGGGAAUAUUGCACAAUGGGCGAAAGCCUGAUGCAGCAACGCCGCGUGAAGGAUGAAGGGUUUCGGCUCGUAAACUUCUAUCAAUAGGGAAGAAACAAAUGACGGUACCUAAAUAAGAAGCCCCGGCUAACUACGUGCCAGCAGCCGCGGUAAUACGUAGGGGGCAAGCGUUAUCCGGAAUUACUGGGUGUAAAGGGAGCGUAGGCGGCAUGGUAAGCCAGAUGUGAAAGCCUUGGGCUUAACCCGAGGAUUGCAUUUGGAACUAUCAAGCUAGAGUACAGGAGAGGAAAGCGGAAUUCCUAGUGUAGCGGUGAAAUGCGUAGAUAUUAGGAAGAACACCAGUGGCGAAGGCGGCUUUCUGGACUGAAACUGACGCUGAGGCUCGAAAGCGUGGGGAGCAAACAGGAUUAGAUACCCUGGUAGUCCACGCCGUAAACGAUGAGUGCUAGGUGUCGGGGAGGAAUCCUCGGUGCCGCAGCUAACGCAAUAAGCACUCCACCUGGGGAGUACGACCGCAAGGUUGAAACUCAAGGGAAUUGACGGGGGCCCGCACAAGCGUGAGAGCCAUGUGGUUUAAUUUGAAGCAACGCGAAGAACCUUACCAAGGCUUGACAUCCCGAUGACCGUCCUAGAGAUAGGACUUCUCUUCGGAGCAUCGGUGACAGGUGGUGCAUGGUUGUCGUCAGCUCGUGUCGUGAGAUGUUGGGUUAAGUCCCGCAACGAGCGCAACCCUUAUCUUCAGUAGCCAUCAUUCAGUUGGGCACUCUGGAGAGACUGCCGUGGAUAACACGGAGGAAGGUGGGGAUGUCGUCAAAUCAUCAUGCCCCUUAUGUCUUGGGCUACACACGUGCUACAAUGGCUGGUAACAAAGUGACGCGAGACGGCGACGUUAAGCAAAUCACAAAAACCCAGUCCCAGUUCGGAUUGUAGUCUGCAACUCGACUACAUGAAGCUGGAAUCGCUAGUAAUCGCGAAUCAGCAUGUCGCGGUGAAUAAAAAACCCGGGCCUUGUACACACCGCCCGUCACACCAUGGGAGUUGGAAGCACCCGAAGUCGGUGACCUAACCGUAAGAAAGGAGCCGCCGAAGGUGAAGCCAGUGACUGGGGUG
rnacentral:rRNA from 1 species